AUGGCAGAAGGAGUACUCUUCAACGUUGCAGAAGGGAUCAUUGGAAGGUUAGGCUUCCUUGUUUUCCAAGAGAUUGCAUUGCUUUGGAGUGUCAAAGAUGACCUCCAAAAGCUGAAGGAGAAAGUUGCCCAACUCCAAGCUGUUCUUCUUGAUGCUGAGCAAAAACAAGCCAACAAUAAUGAAGUCAAAGUGUGGCUCCAAAGCGUAGAAGAUGCAGUUUAUGAAGCUGAUGACGUGCUCGAUGAGUUUUAUACUGAAGCUCAGUGGAGACAAAUGGUGCCCGGAAAUAAUAUAGUGUCAAAGCAGGUACGCAACUUCUUCUCUAGCUCAAACCAGCUUGUUUUUGGGCUGAAAAUUGGUCAUACGAUAAAAGAUCUUGACAAGAGACUUCAUGAGAUUACCUCGAAUAGAACAUUUGGUCAAUUACAAGUGAACCACGAAGAUGCACGAUUUGUAAUAAGAGAGAGGGUCACCCACUCAUUUGUCCGCGAGGAUAAUAUAAUAGGGAGAGAUGAAGAUAAAAGAGCAAUUAUUCAACUUUUGUUGGAUUUGGAUCCCAUCCCUACAAAGAAUGUCUCAUCGAUUUCCAUAGUUGGAUUUGGAGGAUUGGGAAAAACUACACUUGCCCAACUAGUUUUAAACGAUGAGAUGGUUGAGAAGCAUUUUGAGCUGAAAAUGUGGAUAUGUGUGUCAAAUGUAUUUGAGUUGGAUAUACUUGUUAAGAAAAUCAUUCAAUCUGCAACUAAUGACAUAGUCAAAAGCCUUGAGAUUGAUCAGUUGCAAAAAGAACUGAGGAAAAUAAUAGAUGGGAAGAGAUACCUCCUUGUGUUGGACGAUGUAUGGAAUGAUAAUCGUGAAAAAUGGUUUGGCUUGCAAAACUUGUUGAUGGGUGGUGGAAAGGGUAGUAAAAUACUAAUAACUACUCGUAGUGAAACAAUUGCAAAAAUAACAGACGCAUCUAAACCAUAUAAGUUAAGGGGUUUAAGUGAAGAGCGGUCUUGGUAUUUGUUUAAGAAAAUGGCAUUCCAAGAUGGAAAAGAGCCAACGAGUUCAACCAUUAAGGCCCUUGGGGAGGAGAUUGCUAGAAAAUGUAAAGGGGUUCCGCUUGCUAUAAGGACCAUAGGACGGAUGAUGUACACUAGAGAUCCAGAAACUGAGUGGUCGGCUUUCAAGAAUAACAAGCUUUCAACAAUAAGGCAAGAAGAAAAUGAUAUUUUACCAACACUUCAGCUGAGUUAUGAUGUUCUUCCAUCACAUUUGAAACAUUGUUUUGCUUAUUGUAGUUUGUUCCCGCCUGACUUUUCUUUUCUUAAGACAAGAGUGGUGGGGAAAAUCAUUCCAUAAGUCAUUUUGUGCUACAAUUGCUUCAAAUUUUAAGUCAUUGCGUAUGUUGAGUUUGGAUGGAUUGGACAUUAUAAAAUUGCCAAAAUGUCUUAGGAAAAUGAUACAUUUAAGAUAUCUUGAUCUUAGUAGAAAUCCCAUUAACAGACUUCCAAAUUGGAUAGUGAAACUUCAAAAUUUGGAAACACUAGAUCUCUCAAGAUGUGAGUCUCUUUUGGAAUUGCCUAGAGAUAUCAAGAAAUUGAUCAACUUAAGACAUCUCAUUUUGGCAAAUUGUGACGACUUGGCUUGGAUUCCUCGUGGAUUGGGUGAAUUGACUCAUCUUCGUACUUUGAAUACAUUUGUUUUGAGUGAAAACAAAUCCAUGUUGAGGGACAGUGCAGGGCUCAGUGAGUUGGGAAAGCUGAAGAAUUUAAGAGGAGAGUUGAAAAUCAAAAUUUUGAGGUGCGAGCAAGAUAUGGUGUCAGAAUUGAAUUAUGAUUGUGCAGUUUUGAAGGAGAAAAGACAUCUCUAUUCGUUGGCUUUAUAUUGGAUGGACAUUGAAAGAGAAAAUAAUGAUGCGGAGGAGAGUGAUGUAAUUAUAAAGUCAAUGGAAGCGCUGCAGCCCCAUUCGAGUCUAAAAGAGUUAGUCUUGAACGGAUACCCGGGUGCGAGGUUUGCGAGUUGGUUUCAUUCUCUCACAAAUAUUGUUAAUCUCAGAUUGUCUCACUGUGAUAGAUGCCAACAUCUUCCACCGUUGGAUCAUUUACCUUUUCUUAAGAGUCUUUAUCUUAACGAGUUAAGGAAUUUGGAGCACAUAUCUGCAGAAGACAAGGUCAAGGACUUCGCCGGUGAUGUGAUGAUGAUGUCAGCUGCUUCUCCAUCGACGACCUUCUUUCCCUCCUUAGAGAAGCUUUCUCUAAUUGAUUGCCCUAAUCUCAAGGGAUGGUGGAGGAAUGAAACAGCUUCAGCUUCAGCUUCUUCAUUUCCUUGUCUUUCUAUUUUAUCUAUAUAUGGUUGUCCUAACCUAUCUUCCAUGCCGCUGUACCCAAAUCUUUAUGAACUGCGGUUACAGAAAAGCAGCUGGAAGGUCCUUCCCUCCUUCUUUGUUCCCUCUUACAAAUUAACAAAUCUGGAGAUUAGGGGCGUUGAGGAUAUAGAAUAUGUGCCAGAAGAAGGGAUUGGAAACCUCACAUUACUUGAGAAGCUUGAAAUUCAAGAUUGUCCUAAUUUGGUAUCACUACCAGAUCAAGGAUGG